UACGUAGGGUGCAAGCGUUGUCCGGAAUUAUUGGGCGUAAAAGAGCUUGUAGGCGGUUUUGUCGCGUCUGCCGUGAAAGUCCGGGGCUCAACUCCGGAUCUGCGGUGGGUACGGGCAGACUAGAGUGAUGUAGGGGAGACUGGAAUUCCUGGUGUAGCGGUGAAAAUGCGCAGAUAUCAGGAGAACACCGAUGGCGAAGGCAGGUCUCUGGGCAUUAACUGACGCUGAGGAGCGAAAGCAUGGGGAGCGAACAGG
rnacentral:rRNA from 1 species